rnacentral:rRNA from 1 species
CUGCUUCUACUUUCUGUAUGGAGCUGGGAGCGUCUGCCUGUUGGACGCCCGAAGAGCGUCAGGUUUGAUCCUUGGUAUGCAGAUGAACAUGACGAAUUACGGCGCCCCACGUGGGCUUACAAGUGGGAUAUUGUUUCCGAGAUGACGAACGAUGUCAAUCUCAUGUACCAAAAGUACAUUGCCGAGUUGGACACGAUUACGCCUGAGCAGGUAAGGAGGUCAUUACUUUAG